GCAGAGAGAGGGAGACAAGCGGAGGCUGGGGGCUGGUGGACUCAUCGAGCUGCAAAGCACAGUCAGGCGAAUGCUAAACUCUUCUGGCUGUCCAAAAGAUGCUGUGGUCCAGAUAUCCUUCUCUGGAUCUGCAGGCUGUGCUUUGCAGAAGAUUCAUUCUUCAUGGAGAAAAGCACAGCCAAUGAGGCCACAUUCUCCUGUCUUUAGACUUACUAAAGUAAAAGAAAAAAAUAGGAGAGAAAAACAACUCUACAGACAGACAUGAAGAACAGAAGCAUGUCAGUGACCGCCUGAAGAUACCACAGUAAGAAGAACUUGACCUAAGUUUCUAAAGAGGAUCUUAUCAGCUGGGGAGGACUGAUACAGCAGGAUUGAUGAUGCUGAAGUGCUUCUUGGUAAUGACCUUUCUGCAGCCAUUGACUUUUCUUUCACACAGUCUUUGGUAGCCUAACAACAAUGGGAACUAUUGUUUAGAUAACUGUGAUUUUGCUUCUUCCUUUUAUCAAAGGAUUUUAAAAACUGAAAACAGAGUUAAUGGCAGAUCUUGGAGUGUCCAUACGUAACACAGAUACAGACCAGGUACAAGAAAGCAGUGAUUCUGGAAGAUUUAUACAAUUGAAUUGCUUCUUUAUGCUGUUGAUUUCCUGAUGCUGCACCUAUGAAUCUGUCCCUUAGUGUUUAUGAUAUAUUUUCAGAAAAUAAGAUUGUACACCAAUGUUAAUUGUAAUUAUUUUAAUUAUCCCUUUUGAGGAUUCUCUUGCUUUGUCUUCACAUGGCAUAUGCAUGUAAAAGUGUGAAAUUGAGACACAUACAAGGAAUUAUGGAAAAUGUUGUAUGUAAUGUAAGAUUUUUGACUAGGAUCUGUGCAUCAACCAUGGCCAUGGCCAUCAUGUAGUGGAGCAAUUAUCAGCAUCAGCUUCAUCUUAAAAUUCUUAAUUUUCUCUGCUUUUCUUACUUUACUAUAGAUAUUCUUUCCUUUUUUAUUUUUUAUGAUACUAAUAAAAAAAAAACAGGA